rnacentral:ncRNA from 2 species
AUCUUAUCAAGAGCAGGUGGAGGGACUAGCCCAAUGAAACCCGGCAACCGGCGCGAAUGCGCACGGUGCUAAUUCUUGCAGGAACGUGAAGCUGCUUUGCGCAGCGGUUUCUGACAGAUGAGAG